rnacentral:lncRNA from 1 species
ACACUGUUGCAUGAUGGGUAAGCAGUAUGCAAAUCAGAAGCCUUAAGCCAAGAAUAGCAAAUUGGUCAAGAAAACUGUGGCUUUCAGAGAAGCAGCCUAGUGCAAGUGUCAGCAAGCGUUACGAGAUAAUCUCUGAUGUGAAAAAGUGGGAUUUGUCUGCAUGGUCAAAUGAAGCACACAGCCAUAUGUCCAGAACAGCCAGCAGGAGAUGCUUUGUUUUCCCUGUCACUGGAGAGCAGAACUGCUAAAUAAAAUAGAGAGAAAAGAAAAAGGAACACAAGGAAAUUCAACACUCUUUACAUUAUAAGUAGCACUUUUUUCUGCUUUUGUUUCAGGACUGAACUAUCUCCCAUAAAAGCUUUGUUACAUAUUGAGUAUUGACAUCCACAGCACUAAGAGUUUAAAUGAGAAGGUACUGGAUCUGCUUAGCUACAGAUAAAUAGAAUUGGUCAGCAGCUGUCAGUUUGUUGGGAAAAAACAGGGGCAUAAAAAGUAAUAGAAAGAACAGUCAGGGUUAGCAGAUGGAUGGAAUACAAAAAGGUUUUUUUAAAUAACAGUAGUAAUUUAUGUUGACUCACUACUGUUGGACCAUCUAAGCUUACCUUUCAGAUUCUAUAUAAAUCUCUUAAAUUACUGUUCCACCCUACUGUCUUAAAUAACAUAAGUGAAUGUAAUGAUUAAUCUUCACUACAAAUUUGCUUAAUAAGCACCAGUGCAUGAGGACUCUAUACUCUCUCUGCAUUUCUUUAGAAGGCAGAAUGAUUUCUUGGAUUGUAAUGAAUCUGUAUGAUGGGAAAUACAUGUAAGCAUCCAAAAUCUAAACUCUCUAUAGUGUUAAAACAUCAUUUUAGUUAUUUGGAUACUAAGACUGGGGUGCAUUUAGUCACUGAAUUAAAAAAAAUAUAGGACACUUUAUAACUGUAAAAGAAAUGCAGAUUUUUUUUAUGUCUUUGGACUGUAAUUAUGAAGAAAAAUAUAACAAAAUGCAGCAGAUGGCAGUAAUGUACAAAGGAAACAUGAUCCUUUGCUUAUCUUAACAUAACUCUGAGAAUGCAGACUUUUUUCUGCUCCCCACACUGACUGACUAGCUUAAAGCUGGCAGAUGACUCCAUUGGCUUGUCUGGAUUUCAACUUGCUUUAGUAUGUUUGUCAGCAAGUGUCUUAAAUCAAGAUCCAGAUAGGAAGAAUCAAAGCUGAAUACCUUUACAAGUUCAAAAGAACAUUAUGAAGAUGCCGUCAGAGUGAAUAAAUAACCAGAGAAAAAAUAGCUGUUAGUAUGA